rnacentral:lncRNA from 1 species
UCAGUAUGUCAUACUGUUGUGUUCCACUCUGCAAAUAAUGGCCCACGAACCCAACUUCCGAGGGGCAUACCUACCGGCCGAACAUCGGAGUGACCCGCCCGUGCCUGUGCGCAGCUUGAUCUGCCUACCACGCGUCGGCCUCGGCCAUCAUCUCACUGGCCUCGCCUUUCAUCUCUACCACCUGGAAAGCUGGCGUGGCCGACGGAGGUUAUGGAAUGUUUUGUGGCAUCUGUAAUGCAUGUACCCAGCAUAGACGACUGACUGUUCAAGGAACUGAAGCAGUGGACAGCUUACUGUGAAAGAUGGGAGCAUU